GCUAUGAGACAGCAAGAGAGAGACUCUUGUGAUCGGAGGCUGCCUUGAGUGCCAGCCCUCUACCCUCUCCCAGAAGCACAGAGGCUGGACACAGAAAGGCUUAGGGGAGAGCAUCCAAGGCACCAGUGAGUUUAGGUGUCUGAACCAACGGAGCGUGAAAUUUCCUGAGCAAAGAAGGAGCGGCCAGAACGGAGCAUUGGCCAGCACGGUUCAUGUAGAAGGGUUACCGGAGGCUGACAAGCCAGAAGACAAAGGUGGGGGGCCUCAAAACUGAGGGAAGAGCUGCAAGUGAGACGUGGGCAAAGCAUCAGUUACUGCGGAGUGACUAAGACAGCCGAGAGAAGGACGUGGAAGUCAGGAGGUUGCUAGAAACUUCUGCUGUGUUCCUUUCCGGGCACUGCUGGGAGUAAAGCAGUGGAGUGCUGAGUGGAAAUCAUUCGUCAAGAGAGGCAACUUCCGGCUGCGCGUGGAGUGGAUGGCAGACUCCUUGCUCAUGUGAAGAAGAGCCUAUUUGCAAUCUCUAGUUCCAGAACAAAACAAAACAAAACAAGCACUUGUCUCUGAAGAUAUGCAGAGAAAAAAGAGUAGCUAGAAGGCGGCACUGGGCUUCGGGGAGGGAUUUAGAAGGUAGAGCCUUGAACAUGAUUGUAGAUUGAGAAGAAGGAACUUGUUGAAAAAGAUGGUGAAGAGCAAGAGGCCUGCCGAGAGGCAGACAGGAUAAGUUUCAGAGCAGGUUCGGAGGCAUUAAUUUUCCAUAGACGAGGAGCACGUCUCCAUGUGAAAUCCUGUGAUGAUUAAUUGUGAUAUGUCAGCUUGGCUGAGGAGAGAAAUUCCUAGCAGGUUAGAAAAGCACAAUGCUGGGUGUGCCUGUGGAUAAUUGACACGUCGGCCAGCAAAUCGAGAGGGAAAGAACCAUCCCAGUGUGGCUGGCACCAACCAGUAGGAUGAUAGCCUGGGUGGAAUACAGAGGGAAAGGAGAAGGCAGUGUGCCCUCCUUCAGUUCCGGCCUCCUUCAGCAGGUGUAUCCUCUGCUGCCGCCACCUUUGGACAUUACUCCCCAAGCCUCCAGUUCCUUUUUCCCUUUUCUUUCUUUAAGGUAUGAAGAGUAAAAAGGGCCACAGCCUUUCUUAAAAAGUAUGUAAAUGCAGCAUAGUAUGUACAGGUGGCACAGGGAGCCGAUGUAUUUGCAAACGUAGCACUCAAGUUUACAGGUUACGCCUUUGCCAUAGUCUUGGAUGAAUCGUUGACUAAGGUACAAUUCAGCUGUGCUACAGUGCUGCCAAUGCAGACUUGCACCGGUGACUCUGCAGUGGGCUUCCAGGCCUUCAGCCUUGGACUAGAGCUGCGUCCCUGAUCCUGCUUGUUCUGCAGCUUCGGUCUUCCUGGGCUCAGUAGCUACCGGAUCCUCCGGCUCUACAGCACGCAAAUGCCUCCGAUUCUGUGGACAGCCGUGGUGAACUCUCCCACCUCUGCUCCUGAAGCUUACCAAUAAAUCCCUUUGCAUAAUUAUACACA